GAUGAACGCUGGCGGCGUGCCUAAUACAUGCAAGUCGAGCGAAUGGAUUAAGAGCUUGCUCUUAUGAAGUUAGCGGCGGACGGGUGAGUAACACGUGGGUAACCUGCCCAUAAGACUGGGAUAACUCCGGGAAACCGGGGCUAAUACCGGAUAACAUUUUGAACCGCAUGGUUCGAAAUUGAAAGGCGGCUUCGGCUGUCACUUAUGGAUGGACCCGCGUCGCAUUAGCUAGUUGGUGAGGUAACGGCUCACCAAGGCAACGAUGCGUAGCCGACCUGAGAGGGUGAUCGGCCACACCGGGACUGAGAAACGGCCCAGACUCCUACGGGAGGCAGCAGUAGGGAAUCUUCCGCAAUGGACGAAAGUCUGACGGAGCAACGCCGCGUGAGUGAUGAAGGCUUUCGGGUCGUAAAACUCUGUUGUUAGGGAAGAACAAGUGCUAGUUGAAUAAGCUGGCACCUUGACGGUACCUAACUAGAAAGCCACGGCUAACUACGUGCCAGCCGCCGCGGUAA
rnacentral:rRNA from 1 species